GAGGGCCUCUAAAUAAUGGGCUGGUAUCGUGGGUCUGGCCCCAGACCGGGGUGGAGAAAUCCGGCUAUCAUCACUAAGUAUAUAAAAAUGAAUUAUAAUUAAAGAGAAUAUUUUAUUAUAAAAAAAUUAUUAUUAAAAUUAAAAAUAUAUAAAUUAAAUUAUAGAUUUUAUAAGACUAAAAUAUAAUUUAUUUAAAUUAAAAAUUACUUUCAAUUGAUUUUUAAAUACCACAUCAAUAUUUAUCAAUUGCGUUAAAA
rnacentral:lncRNA from 1 species